GGGGCGGGGCCGCCGGCGCCCGGACCUUGCUGCCGGCCUUCUCGUCGGACUUCCGGCCGCGCACCUACCGCCAGGGGAGUGGCGCCCGCGACCUGCGCGGCUCGGUCAAGUUCACUCUGGCGCGCGCCCCCGCCGCCUUGGCCGCCGCGCACAACCGCACACGCAGAGUUGGCCCUGGUAGUGCUUUCUUACCACAACCCAGAAGUGCGGAGGCUGUGAGAGGGGGACGAAUGGCGGCUGAUCGGGACGGGCCAGCAAAGCCCGGCAUCUGUCACGCGAGCAGGGAUGGCUGGGCAGGUGGACAGCCGACCCCACAGAAUGGCAUCUGCUGGACUGUCACCUCUGCUAGAUAAUGAGGCAUCCGCCCUGCGGGCUCAGUCAGCCUGCUGGGGGACGGACAAACCAGCAGUGCUCUCCUCUGACACCCCGAGAUACGGGACUCGCCCCGCUUCCAGCGCCCUGGCCACGGCGCCCCGCGGAGCGCCGCCCCUCCUGCAGGUACCGGGCUUUCAGGGGAGAAGACGCCCUUUACUCCCCGACCUCCUGGAACCUUCUGGCCAUCCGCCUGGCCUUCAUCAUUGUGUUUGAGGUACUGGGCACCUGGGCGGGGUGGUCCCCAACCCCUAUCCCCCCUGCUCGCACCUGGAAGCUGGCGCUUCCCGCUGUCACCUGGUCAGACGCUCAGUCCUGUGGGCCCCACUCCUCCGCUGGCCUGUCUCCCGGUGUGAGGCCACCGGAGUGCUCUGGGCCUUCCCUGCGGAGUGUCCCGUGGAAGCUGGGGGUGGCUCCUGUGGCCUUGGCCCCUGCCCCUCCCAGGAGUUUCCUGUUCUGCACGGAUGAGAGCAGGGGAAGGCCACGCUGGGCACGUGUUUUGCCAAGGGGGUGCCCUCUGCCCUCGCAGUGGUGUUCUCCCUGGGCCGGGUCCUCGCCCUCCUGGUUCCCGACCCCUGGGUCUGUGGAGGUCAAGAUGAAGCGGGAGCACCCCCUGGCCAAGCAGGCGCUGGCUGAGAAGGCGGUGCGCGCCCCCCGCCCCCAGCCCCGCACAGUUCGCGCAAUCCGCUUCGUCCUGCCACCAAGGCAGACUCAUCUCGCUCCUCCUCCGCCGCCCUCUCCUGGGAACAGGCUCUUUUUGGGACAAAACGCGUGAGAGAGGACGGGCCCUUGGGCCCAGAGAUGAGGCCGCGGGCCUCCCCAGCCCCUUCCCUGAGGCGGGCCCACUGGUGGAGGGAGGCUCACCAGCCCAAGGCCACAGCCUCCCCAGGGCAAACGGGCCCCCACCUGGGAUGCUGCCCCCAGUCACUGCCCCCCACCCCUGACCUCCUGGGGCCUGGCCUCUCAGCUCUGGUCCCUCCAGCCCUCCCCCUGCCCGGGUCCGAGGCUCUGCUCCAGCUGCGCCCGUGGAUGUGGGUCCUGUCCUCACUCUGGUGCUCCCCACACCUGCUGACCCUCAAAUGGUAGUGACCCUCUCCAGGCCAGCCCUGCCCCUCCCUACCCUGCCUGCUCCCAGCACAGCCCCACCAUCAGCCCCCGACCCUGGUCACGACCCGAAGUCUGCUCACCACGCUGACCCCGCCAGGGCCUGCGCCUGCAUCUCCUCUCUGCUUGAGCCCGGCCCGGCCCCCUCCAGCCACCACCAGCAGCCCCAGGCGUCCCUUUAUCCCGUUAACCUCUUCCGGUGGCGUUGCCGGCCCCUCCCAGACUCUGCGCGCUGAAUGGAGCCCCCUCCCCGCCCCCCGGGAGCGCCCCGCGGGGAGGUCGUGGGAGCGAACUGGACUUCACCCCCUGACCAUCAGACACCUGGAGGAAAGGACAGUCCAGUAACGCUGGUGGGGCUCCUUCCAGAAGUUUCUUGGCAAGUCCUGCUUAAAACUGGGAGCAUGACAGUCCCUGCAGUUUUUGACCCUGACUGCACGUGGCACUCCCCUUCCUCAUCUUUGAAAACCACAGACUCCCAGAAACGCCACGCCCGCCCUGCCUUCCCGAGGGGACGCUCCUCCACUGGCAGGGGCGUCCAAAGGCUCGGCAGGUUUCAGACUGCGACACACCCCGCCCACCCUCUCCCAGAGCUGCCCCCCGCACCUUUACAUCGUCCUUGGCAGCGAGGAGUGAGGCUGAGGCACGGCCGCUGGCAUUUCUCUUGGAUGUGCCACUGUGCCCGGACCAUCUGGAAGAUGUCCUCGUUUGUGGGUGGGCAGUGGGGCUGCCUGCACGAUGCCCGCCCUUAUCACCAGAUCCCCAAGUAGUUCCUUCCAGGGGGUUGCUUUUCUGUUCUUAUUGCUGUUUUUAACUCUAUUUUAUUUUUUGCUUUUCUCAAGGGCCGCACCAGCGGCACAGCACAUGGAGGUUCCCAGGCCAGGGGUCGAAUGGGCGCCACAGCCGCUGGUCUACACCACAGCUCACUGCAACGCUGGAUCCUUAGCCCACUGAGCGAGGCCAGGAAUUGAACCCACGUCCUCAAGGAUACCAGUCGGCUUCAUUUCCCCUAUGCCACAACAGGAAUUCCUAACUCCCAUUUUAAAGUAAGUUUCCCAGAAGGCUGGAACCAUGGCACCCACAGGCCCACACCACCAGCCUGUCCUGGAUGCUCCGUGAAUUAGAGCACCUGCUGAUCCACUCUGCCCGUCAGGGAAAACGCUGCCCUCAGCUCUUGUCCAGACCGCCUGGUGCCCACUGGUGCCCCCGACAGGCAGGUUUAGGAGUGGAACUGCUGGGUCACUGGGUAAACAGAUUUGUCUUUAAGCGGUGGGGGGAGCGAGGUCAGGGCACCCCCAGCAGGCACAGCAGCCCAGAGACAGGCAGCCAGCUUCACUGUGUCCUCCACUGGCCCCGCAGCACUGUGGCUCCUGUGGGGGCUGUCAACACGAGGCUGAGAGCCACAGGCAGCUGGGAGACUCACACGGAGUUUCUGGGCGUCGGGAAGACACCCCUGGUUCCACGAGGCUGAGCCCACACGCGCGGCGCGAUAGGAGGAGUCUCGGAGCACUGCAUCUGGUUUCGGGUUUUAUUUUAGAAUGUAUAAAAUUCCAGUGUCACCCG
rnacentral:lncRNA from 1 species